AAAAAAAUCAUUGCCGUGUUAAUUUUCUUCCUUCGGCCUUCGAGUGAGUCAAAAGCAGCAACGAUGUAUCAUCCGACCAGAGGUGGCGUCCGCGGCGGCCGAGAUCAAUUUAGCUGGGAUGAUGUUAAGGUUGAUAAACAUCGGGAGAAUUAUCUUGGUCACAGUAUUAAGGCCGCUGUUGGAAGAUGGCAAAAAGGGAAAGAUCUGCACUGGUACACCAGGGACAAAAAUUCUGAGAGUUCAAGUAAAGAUGCUUUAAAAGAAGAGAUAAAAAGAAUUAAGGAAGAGGAGGAGCAGUCCAUGAGGGAGGCACUUGGUUUAGCUCCAAAGCGUGCUAGCCGGCCUCAAGGAAAUCGACUUGAUAAACAUGAGUUUUCUGAACUUGUGAAGCGAAGCUCUACAGCAGAGGAUUUGGGAGCGGGGCAUGCUGAAGCUGCACGUGUCCAUGGUCUUGGUUUCUCAAGAGCACCCCGUCCUUGGGAAGACCCAAGUACACUUCCUUCUAAACACAAGGAAGUUUCACCUGAGCCGGUGAAGGAGGCUGUGCCUGAUUCAUUACCAAGCAACUCUCGAGAAGAUGAAUCAGAUGGUGAAAGCAGCCGAAAGAAGAGGAGGCAUGAGGAGAAGAAACUUGAGAAGGAGAAGAAAAAUGAGAAACGUGAAAGGCGUGAGAAACGGCGUUCACAUGAUUCGGAUGACAGAAAAAAACACAAGAAAGACAAGAAGAGGAGGCAUGACUCUGAGUCUGACUGAAUAAACAUUUGAAUGUUGUAGCUCCUUCUAUUUUAUAAUACAUUACAAAUUAACUUUUGUUUUAUACUACACUUCUCCUUGAGCCGCAAUGCUGCUUGAGAGUUGAGAUUAUUUAAUGGUUUGGCCUGUAAUGAAGUUCGUCAUACAAAAGCCUACUGGGAGCAGGAAAAAAAUUUAUGGUCACAAAACUCGGAAUGUGAAAGGCUUCAUUUGGGGAUCCUUCAAAUUGAAAGGUUUUGUUGUUAAAAA
rnacentral:misc_RNA from 1 species